AACGAACGCUGGCGGCGCGCCUAAUACAUGCAAGUCGAGCGAGAAGACGUAGCAAUACGUUUGUAAAGCGGCGAACGGGUGAGGAAUACAUGGGUAACCUACCCUUGAGUGGGGAAUAACUAGCCGAAAGGUUAGCUAAUACCGCGUACGCUCCUUGGACUUCGGUUCAGGGAGGAAAGCGAUACCGUGGGUAUCGCGCUCUUGGAUGGGCUCAUGUCCUAUCAGCUUGUUGGUGAGGUAACGGCUCACCAAGGCUUCGACGGGUAGCUGGUCUGAGAGGACGAUCAGCCACACUGGCACUGCGACACGGGCCAGACUCCUACGGGAGGCAGCAGUAAGGAAUAUUGCGCAAUGGGCGAAAGCCUGACGCAGCGACGCCGCGUGGGGGAUGAAGGUCUUCGGAUUGUAAACCCCUUUCGGGAGGGAAGAUGGAAUGGGGUAACCCAUUCGGACGGUACCUCCAGAAGCAGCCACGGCUAACUUCGUGCCAGCAGCCGCGGUAACAC
rnacentral:rRNA from 1 species